rnacentral:rRNA from 1 species
CUACGGGCGGCUCCAGUGAGGAAUUUUGCGCAAUGGGGGGAACCCUGACGCAGCAACGCCGCGUGAGUGAUGAAGGCUUUCGGGUCGUAAAGCUCUGUCAAGUGGGAAGAACCUAUGCAGUGUUAAUAUCACUGUAUACCGACGGUACCACUGAAGGAAGCACCGGCUAACUCCGUGCCAGCAGCCGCGGUAAUACGGGGGGUGCAAGCGGUUAUUCGGAAUCAUUGGGCGUAAAGGGCACGUAGGCGGCUUGGUAAGUCAGAUGUGAAAGCCCGGGGCUUAACCCCGGAAGUGCAUUUGAUACUGUCAGGCUUGAGUAUGGGAGAGGGAAGUGGAAUUCCUGGUGUAGAGGUGAAAUUCGUAGAUAUCAGGAGGAACACCGGUGGCGAAGGCGACUUCCUGGACCAAUACUGACGCUGAGGUGCGAAGGCGUGGGUAGCAAACAGGAUUAGAUACCCUGGUAGUC